rnacentral:lncRNA from 10 species
CCCCCCUCCCUGUUCCCCUCCCUCCCCUUCCCUGUUCCCCUCCUUCCCGCUCCCUGUUCCCCUUCUACAGGAGAAUGGAGAACAGGCGUGGGAAAUGUUCCCAAAACGGGGGACUGCGCAGAAUUAAUUCUUAGAAAUAGAAUGGCUGAGUUAGAGAUGAGGAAAUCAAGGCGGAGAAAAGUUGGAGAAUGUGUCCAAAGUCACACCGCCGGCAGCCAAAAGAGCCCGGGGGCUCACUCACAGAAGACACAGCCAACAGCGAUUGCUCUGGGAGAGAGGACCGGGGAAAAGUUAGUGCUGUUCACCGUACACGUUGCGCGCUAGUUGGAAUGGCUUUCACCACGUGCAAGCACUGCUUUUGCAAAUGCAUGAUUCUAAACAAUGCUCACCAACCCAGCCUUCAGUACAGUCCUAAAGUAACAGCCCAGAAACACACACUUCAGCCAGGACCCUCCAUGCUGCCUCCCAGAGCAGCCCAGCAGCUGGACAGCCUGAUGCCCUGGGCUGGAUCAGCAAGUCCUGGAUGCCUUUUACCUGCACCCAGCUCAUCCUCCAGGCCGCAGGACACACAGACUCCCGACCCUGGACUGGGGGCCAGAAGCCACCGAGCUGGAAGGGACAAGAGGUCUCCUGGCCCACCAUGUUUGUUUUCCCAAUAAAGAGGUUCCACAGUGCCCCGUAGUCAGCCAUAGCAUUCACUCACAUCCUGGAGUGCCUGCUGCACACCGGCCUGCCCAGAGAGCACACGCUGCGAGGUAAGUGCUGCAGUUGACACAGUGAGAACAAGACCCGCCUGCAGGAGCUCCCAGCGCUUAGGGGUGGGGGACAAGAAGAGCAAAGAUUGCACCACCCGUGGCAAAAUUGCAAGAGAAAAAUGAGUGAACAGGUGGCUACGUGCUGAGGUGAUCAGGGCAGACCGUGAGGGCCGAGAUUGCUAGAGAUGGCGAAGCCUGUACUCCUGGAAAGUACUCAGGGAACCCCAGCCCAGCCCACCCUGGCCUGGAAAGCCAAGCUAACGGGGUCUUCACCCCAAACUCAAAGAAAU